GACGAACGCUGGCGGCGUGCUUAACACAUGCAAGUCGAACGGUAAGGCCCUUCGGGGUACACGAGUGGCGAACGGGUGAGUAACACGUGGGUGAUCUGCCCUGCACUUCGGGAUAAGCCUGGGAAACUGGGUCUAAUACCGGAUAGGACCACUGCCUGCAUGGGUGGUGGUGGAAAGCUUUUGCGGUGUGGGAUGGGCCCGCGGCCUAUCAGCUUGUUGGUGGAGUGACGGCCUACCAAGGCGACGACGGGUAGCCGGCCUGAGAGGGUGACCGGCCACACUGGGACUGAGAUACGGCCCAGACUCCUACGGGAGGCAGCAGUGGGGAAUAUUGCACAAUGGGCGCAAGCCUGAUGCAGCGACGCCGCGUGAGGGAUGACGGCCUUCGGGUUGUAAACCUCUUUCAGCACCGACGAAGCGCAAGCGACGGUAGGUGCAGAAGAAGGACCGGCCAACUACGUGCCAGCAGCCGCCGUAA
rnacentral:rRNA from 1 species